rnacentral:rRNA from 1 species
CGGCCGCGUCGACCCGGGAGGAAGGCGGGGAUGACGUCAAAUCAUCAUGCCCCUUAUGAUUUGGGCAACACACGUGCUACAAUGGCGUUAACAAAGAGAAGCGAGAACGCGAGUUUAAGCAAAGCUCAAAAAAUAACGUCUCAGUUCGGACUGCAGUCUGCAACUCGACUGCACGAAGCUGGAAUUGCCUAGUAAUCGCGAAUCAGCAUGUCGCGGUGAAUACGUUCCCGGGUCUUGGUACACACCGCCGUCGACGCGGCCG